rnacentral:sRNA from 1 species
GAGCGCUGCCCGCGCGGGGACCACAACCCGAGUCGCGGCCGCCGCAGCCAUGCGCUGGGUCUGGGCGCUGCUGAAGAAUGCGUCCCUGGCAGGGGCGCCCAAGUACAUAGAGCACUUCAGCAAGUUCUCCCCGUCCCCGCUGUCCAUGAAGCAGUUUCUGGACUUCGGAUCCAGCAAUGCCUGUGAGAAAACCUCCUUCACCUUCCUCAGGCAGGAGCUGCCUGUGCGCCUGGCCAACAUCAUGAAAGAGAUCAACCUGCUUCCUGACCGGGUGCUGAGCACACCCUCUGUGCAGCUGGUGCAGAGCUGGUAUGUCCAGAGCCUCCUGGACAUCAUGGAGUUCCUGGACAAGGAUCCCGAGGACCAUCGCACCCUGAGCCAGUUCACUGACGCCCUGGUCACCAUCCGGAACCGGCACAAUGAUGUGGUACCCACCAUGGCACAAGGUGUGCUUGAGUACAAGGACACCUAUGGCGAUGACCCCGUCUCCAACCAGAACAUCCAGUACUUCCUAGACCGCUUCUACCUCAGCCGCAUCUCCAUCCGCAUGCUCAUCAACCAGCACAGUGGGUGCCGACCACGGCGGCAGGGGGCAGGCAAUUGGGGAGCGGUGCUGGGGCUGAGGGCCGGGCUGCUGAGGGGACCUAGACCACUCUUCAGAGCCCCACAAAGGGAGUCUUUGAAUAGUUACUCCAGUAACUAUGGAGUUAAUGGCUCCGACAUGGAAAAAUAACAUUUUUCUUUCUCAUUCAUUUUCCAUUUCAAAAACGUUUUGUUUUCAAUGUUUGCAAAAUGUAAAAUUAUGUCUUUUACAUCUUUAAAAGAAUGUUUAGUAUUUAUAAAAACUCUCAUUAUGUUCAAAAA